rnacentral:rRNA from 1 species
GUAGGGAAUAUUGGGCAAUGGAGGCAACUCUGACCCAGCCAUGCCGCGUGCAGGAUGACGGCCCUCUGGGUUGUAAACUGCUUUUAUACGGGAAGAAAAAAUACUACGUGUAGUAUACUGACGGUACCGUAAGAAUAAGGAUCGGCUAACUCCGUGCCAGCAGCCGCGGUAAUACGGAGGAUCCAAGCGUUGUCCGGAUUUAUUGGGUUUAAAGGGUGCGUAGGCGGAUCUUUAAGUCAGUGGUGAAAGACUGCAGCUUAACUGUAGAAUUGCCAUUGAAACUGAAGAUCGUGAAUGUGGUUAAAGUAGGCGGAAUGUAUCAUGUAGCGGUGAAAUGCUUAGAUAUGAUACAGAACACCGAUAGCGAAGGCAGCUUGCUGAACCAUUAUUGACGCUGAGGCACGAAAGCGUGGGGAGCGAACAGGAUUAGAAACCCGUGUAGUCC